CAUUACGAAGCUUAGAGCGUUAACCUUUUAAGUUAAAGUUAGAGAUGUUGAGUCUCCGUAGUGA
rnacentral:tRNA from 1 species